rnacentral:rRNA from 1 species
GUGAAGCGGCAAGAGCUCAGAUUUGAAAUCGUGUUUCGGCACGAGUUGUAGAGUGUAGGCGGGAGUCUCUGUGGAGCGCGGUGUCCAAGUCCCUUGGAACAGGGUGCCUGAGAGGGUGAGAGCCCCGUAGGGUGCUGCGCGAAGCUUUUGAGGCCCUGCUGACGAGUCGAGUUGUUUGGGAAUGCAGCUCCAAGCGGGUGGUAAAUUCCAUCUAAGGCUAAAUAUUGGCGAGAGACCGAUAGCGAACAAGUACUGUGAAGGAAAGAUGAAAAGCACUUUGAAAAGAGAGUGAAACAGCACGUGAAAUUGUUGAAAGGGAAGGGUAUUGGGCUCGACAUGGGGGGUGCGCACCGCUGUCUCUUGUAGGCGGCGCUCUGGGCGCCCUCUGGGCCAGCAUCGGUUCCUGCUGCGGGAGAAGGGGCUCCGGAAAGUGGCUCUUCGGAGUGUUAUAGCCGGGGCCAGAUGCCGCGUGUGGGGACCGAGGACUGCGGCUUCUGUCUCGGAUGCUGGCAUAACGGCGCAAUACCGCCCGUCUU